UCCCUGGUGGUCCAGUGGUGAAGACGCUGCACUUCCACUGCAGGGAGCAUGGGUUCGAUCCCUAGUUGGGGAA
rnacentral:tRNA from 1 species